UUUCUGUGGGUGGGAAGGGAAAGCAGAGCUGCUGCCCAUACCCUGCAGUGGCUUUGGGAGCUUGUGCCCCAGCACAGAGCAAAAUCCUCUGUGCAGAGCUCCUGACCCAGCUCAGUCUGUCUGGAUUUCCUGCUGCCUUCAUCCCGAUGGAGGAGGAGCUGCUGGGACAGCCUGGGGGAAAACAGCUCUGUUGGAGCAGCAGCCUGGAGGGAAAAGUGGAGAAACCUCUGAGGAAGCAGCUGCAGAAAGGGAGGUGAUGCAUUUCUCCUGGAAGGCCCAUGAAGAGUGGAGAAGACAAUUUGUUAUUUCACCAAGGGUGAGAAGGAGCAUUGCCCAACCCGAUGGACAAAUGGCCUGUGCUUCCACCCCAGCAGGGUCACAGCUGCAGUGGGACUGAGUGAGGGCUGUUCAUGGAAUUCCUGACAUCCCAAUGAGGUGCUGGGAGACAGGAAUAUGGGACACAGCCAAGACACCAAGCUUCUGGCUGGACACUCUUUCCCAUUCCAGCACCCAGGGAAGUGUCACCAAUCCCCAAGGACACACAUUGCUCCAGUCAUCACCUCUCAGAGCCAGUGAAAAGAACAUUCCCAAGGAUGGCUUGGUGUGUGCAAAGUGCCUCAUGGUUGGUGCAGGGCAGGCAGGUGCUGGUACAGAGCUGAGCACGGGAAAU